rnacentral:pre_miRNA from 1 species
CAUUAAUUGCUUACUUGACUGUAAUGUGUCACACUUUUAUUGGACGUAUUGGACGUUGACAUUAAUUAGGUGUACGAAAUUAACGUCCAAUAAAAACGUGACACGUGACCGUCAAGAUAA